UACAGAGGUCUCGAGCGUUAGGCGGAAUCACUGGGCUUAAAGCGUGUGUAGGUGGAUGCCUAAGUACCUUGUGAAAUCCCACGGCUUAACCGUGGAACUGCUUGGUAUACUGGGUGUUUCUGAGUCACUCAGGGGCGAGCGGAACAAAUGGUGGAGCGGUGAAAUGCGUAGAUAUCAUUUGGAACGCCAAUGGUGAAAACAGCUCGCUGGGGGUGCACUGACACUGAGACACGAAAGCCAGGGGAGCGAACGGG
rnacentral:rRNA from 1 species